UGCAGAUGAUGUGAUAGAAUAUUUGCUAUCUGAGCCCCAAUGAUGAUACAUACCACCAAGAUCGCUGAUGCA
ensembl:snoRNA SNORD24 Small nucleolar RNA SNORD24